GUGGAUUAGAUACCCGGGUAGUCCACGCUGUAAACGAUGGAUACUAGGUGUGGGGGGUCUGACCCCCUCCGUGCCGCAGUUAACACAAUAAGUAUCCCACCUGGGGAGUACGAUCGCAAGGUUGAAACUCAAAGGAAUUGACGGGGGCCCGCACAAGCGGUGGAGUAUGUGGUUUAAUUCGAAGCAACGCGAAGAACCUUACCAGGGCUUGACAUCCUACUAACGAAGUAGAGAUACAUUAGGUGCCCUUCGGGGAAAGUAGAGACAGGUGGUGCACGGCCGUCGUCAGCU
rnacentral:rRNA from 1 species